rnacentral:rRNA from 1 species
GUGACUUUGUGGUGGAGUACUAUACUUGCUGUUUUAUGGCUGAGCCUUUCGAUUAGUCCGACGAAAGUUACUUCGGCCGGCCCGAUCUUAAUCUGACCGCCGGAGGACCGCCAUUAAUAUGGGUGUUGCCNUCUGGGCCAGUGUCUGCCCGAUAGCCUCAUCUCCCAAACUUCGUGGAUCAAAUCAGGAUUUAACAAAUGUCUUAAGUGAUUUUAACUCCAAUAAAAAGCAAUAAAACCUUUCCAACAACGGAUCUCUUGGUUUCUGGGCNAUCGAUGAAGAACCGCAGCGGAAAAUGGCCGAUAAGUAAUGCGAAAUUGCAGAAUUUCCNAGUGAGUCAUCGAAUCUUUGAACGCACAUUGCGCCCUUUGGUAUUCCGAAGGGCAUGCACUGUUCGAGCGUCAUUAUUCACCCCCUCAAGCCCCUGGCGCUUGGGUGUUGGACGGCUUGGUGGAGCGAGUUCACACUUUCCAACCCUCCUAAAGACAAUGGACGGCGGCCUGCGGAACCCCCGGUACCACUGAGCUUCUUAACGGCAGCACCUACUCGGAUGAAGGGCGCCCCAGUACCACAGGUCAACGCUACCAUCACGGAAAAAACUUUUUCUAACGUUGACACGGAUAACAGCAUAGAUAAUAAGGGAGCCGCGCAAAUACAGAAGCGGG